UCUAGUGGCAAGAGGGAACUGCCAAGGGAAAUCUGAGAGGAGGUGUUUACCCUGCGUAAACACCUUGCUGUUUAGCUUGGCAUCCCUAGAAGCAGACCCUGAGGACAGUGGGAAAAUGGAUUAUUAAGGAAGUGCUCCUGAGAGAAACCAGAAAGGGGGUGUAGGGAGCAAGGGAGGAUAAGGAGAAGACUCCAGUAAGGAUGAGAUUACUCAAGUCCCAUGGAAGACAGGUUAGCCUGAUCCUGCAGGGGAGCCCUGGAGGACUUAACAUCUCUGGAAAGCCAGAAAUCAGAGAUACAGAGAAGUAUUGAAAUGCUGAAAUGCUAUGAAUUUACUAUAAGAGAACAUUCUUCACUGAAGAGAUCUCUAGCUGCCAAAACACCCUUUCAUGCGUGAAAUACCGGGGCAAAGAGGAAGGAAAAGAGAAGAGUAUGACUCUAGGAACCAUGUUGCAGAAAUGCCAAAGGGUGGGACAAACAAAGUUACUAAUGUGGAGAAAGAAGAUUAUCAUGUGUGGAACGAAGGACAAUAUGAACAUUAAAUAAUGCCCUGACUCAUUCCAAAAAGAAUCUGAGAUGACCAAUAAAGCCAUUUUUAAUUGUUUAUUAGUGAACAAUAGAUUAUGAGUGCUAAAGGGAUUCAGGAAGAAGAAAGAUCAGUGCAGAGUAGAGAAGUCUGAUGGAUGCAUUGAAGAAGCUAUGCUUGAGCUGAAAUGACAAGAGAGCUGUUUUUCGCUUUCAGAAUUAUUAUGUGGCAAUGGUAAUUGACAACAGAGAAGCUGAAGGUAUGAGGACAAGGGUGUCUUAUCUUUCCCCAGAAGUCUUGCUUGGCCCAUGGGAGAAUACAGGCCUGCACCUUGGACUUGGAGUCAGUAGAUUCCUUCCUGUGAUUUUUUACAAGCUCAAACAUCCCCUGACUGAGUCAUUCACCAGAGAAAGAGGCUUUUCAAAUGAUUUGUGCAUUAGCUAUAGUCUGCCUUAUUCAACCCCAUUUUAGUGUCACAAAAGCUUCUUCUUCCUACAUUGUUAGAGCCUUUUUGACUUUUCUGAAACGACAUCUGCUCACCUCUUGGGUAACACCCUGCAGGGCUCAGUCGAGCUCAGUCACCCUUCACUUUUUUUUUUUUUUUUUUGAGCCAGUUUUGUAAGGUGCUGAGGGAGGUUUGUAUUAGUCCUUGUUGCCCCUAGAAGAAAUAACAGCUAUAAUUUUGGCCCCGAAGAAAAGGAACAGGUAUGACUAUUCUCUCUCUUUCUCUCAAACCACAAUCUACUCUAGGGAGGAAGUCACUUUAUGGGAGCAGAGUCACUCUCAAGUAAUAGCUGGCCAUACAGAUUGCUCUGGACCAAGGGUGAAUGUGAAGAAGAAAAGACCGGCCAGCAACACAAUGGAAUAUCUAGAGUCAUAUUGAGGGAAAUACUUAGAUUGCUGAUUUCUUAGUGGAUUUCACAAGCAGAGCUGCUUGUGAGCAGAAUGGUGAAGUAGGGGCAUGUGUUUCUGGGGUCUUAUUCCAUGGCUUCCUUCCACCUACAAGAGUCAUCCUCACGGAGUACUUGCAUUUCAGUAGAAGAAAAAAAUCUUAUAGAUGGAAGGGAAGGAUGGGGUUCCUGCUUUAGGAAGAUUGGCAUGGUCAUAAGUCUGAGCAAGGAAGGGCCCAGGGCAGCUCAGAGCUCUGAGCAGGAAGCUCUAAUUAGUUACUGAAUAUGGUGCAAGCACAAAGAGAGCGUAGUGUUUUCCCUUUCCAUCUGUGGAAGUCUUGGCCAUGCUUACUUGGGCGUUCCUUCCAGGAAACAUUUAUUUUUCCUCUUUAAUGCCCUCCUCAUAUCUAUGCUCUCAGUAGAGGAUGCCACUGCUUCUGGCACCUGGAUAAUAGAAUGAAGCUGAUUGGGAUGGAAACAGAAAAGUCAUCUCUCAGAACAAUGAGCAGAGACUGAAACUCCCUUGUACCCAGUCCCUGUGCACUGCUGUUCAUAGCCAAAUGGGCAAGGCCUUGCCAAAUGUCAUGUUGAGGUGAGGCCCUAAGUGAUAGAAAAAUAAAAAAUGACUAUGGCCA